CCGGACGCUUUGGAGCCACGGGAGGUAGAGGAAUUCAGAGAGAGAAAUAGGGGAGAGUUGGGGUGAGUGAGAAACAAGAAGAAGAGAAGUUGAGAUUAGAAGCCUCGGGGUUAUAGGGCGUGCAGUCAUAAGCUUCCCGCAAGUUAUUGAAGCUCAAAACCUUCAUCAUGUUUUUUGGAACAACAUCUUCAGUUUGACUCAAUUUGGGGAUGGCUUUUGCUGAAUGAGACAACUCAAUGAAGCUUUUGCUUACUCAUGGAAUCAGCACAAUUUGGGGAUGGCUUUUGUUAUAUGAGACAACUCUAUAUUGAUGUGAAUGUAGUGUCAUCAAUGUUAAUAUUUAUGGCUCAAUUUGGAGAUGGCAUGUGUUGUAUGAGACAUAUUGAUGUGAAUGUAGAAUCAUGUGGCUCAAUUUCAUGUUAAUAUUUAUGACUCAAUUUGGG